CAGCAGCCGCGGUAAUACGAAGGGGGCUAGCGUUGUUCGGAUUUACUGGGCGUAAAGGGCGCGUAGGCGGACUGAUAAGUCAUGGGUGAAAUCCCAAGGCUCAACCUUGGAACUGCCUUUGAUACUGUUUGUCUUGAGUUCGAGAGAGGUAAGUGGAACUGCGAGUGUAGAGGUGAAAUUCGUAGAUAUUCGCAAGAACACCAGUGGCGAAGACGGCUUACUGGCUCGAAACUGACGCUGAGGCGCGAAAGCGUGGGGAGCAAACAGGAUUAGAUACCCGGGUAGUCCCUGUCUCUUAUAA
rnacentral:rRNA from 1 species